UACGGGGGGGGCAAGCGUUGUUCGGAAUUACUGGGCGUAAAGGGAGCGUAGGCGGACAGUUUAGUCAGAGGUGAAAGCCCAGGGCUCAACCCUGGAAUUGCCUUUGAUACUGAUUGUCUUGAGUAUGGGAGAGGUGUGUGGAACUCCGAGUGUAGAGGUGAAAUUCGUAGAUAUUGGGAAGAACACCGGUGGCGAAGGCGGCUAUCUGGACCGACAUUGACGCUGAGGCGCGAAAGCGUGGGGAGCAAACAGG
rnacentral:rRNA from 1 species